ensembl:lncRNA
CUUAACUGUCACCGACAGCACUGCCCAGUCAUAUCUCUUGGUGCACCUGAUGGAGCAGGAACCCUGUAGGGACAUUUGAAACUGAUGUAUUCAGGCAUUUCUGCUAGACUGAGUGUCCCCAAAGGGAACCAGACUGAAGGGAAGAAGUCUAGGAGUCCUUAGAGAAAAUCCCUGUGAUUAAACAUGUUUCGUCGAUUGGAUGUGACGGAGCGGCAGGAAACGUCAGCCAGAUAGCAGAGAUGUCCUCUGCAUCCCUGAGCCAGCUUCUCUGCCCACCUACCCCUCCCCUUCUCCCCUUCCUCAGGGAAAGAGUAGGCUCCAGAGAGGGGAGGGCUGUGGUCCAGAGGAAGCUGAGCUCCAAUACCAGUGGAGUGGUGAUCCAGAGAUGGGCAGCAGUGUGGGGAGUGGCCUCUGUGAGAGGAGACUGACUGGAGCGUGGAGAUGGGGCAGAGGGAGUGCAAAGCCUGUGGGCUUUGCUUUUGGGAUAUAAGUCACCGAGUCUCCUUCCAGGAAAAUUCUGGUGCGAAAGCCUGAAGAGCAGAUGCCCCCAGUCCAAGCUGACGGCUGCCUCUCAGGAAUAAAUGAUCUUUGCAGACUCUAAGCUGCGCACAAACGAAAGGCAUGGAUGGUGCUGUCCUUGAGUUCAGACCAGGAACUACUGGCUCCCCCUGCCUGAGUGUGUGUCCCAGCUCUGCCACCUCCUGUGCCACCUCAGGCGAAGUGCUUUUCAGCAUUUUAUCUUCCUCAUCUGAGAAAAUGCAGAUGAUGAUACUAGCACCUACCUCAGAGAGCUGUUGUGAAGAUUAAACGGGUUAAUUGACAGUGGCUGGCAUAGAGCGAGCACUCAGUAAACGUUAGCUUGUCGCCGCGGCAGGAGGCAUAGAGGCAGAAGAAGGAGAAGGAGGAGUGUGACGGAGGAAACGCAGCCAUCCUUUCCAGAAACCUCAGCCUGGUCCUCGGGGAAGCCCCUCACUCUUCUGUUGGAAGUUCUCCUCUCUAAUCUGUCCUCUGUUUGCCUUCAGUGGUCUGUGGCAUUAGCAUCCAUGUUUUUAAAUCCAUGAGCAAUUGCAGGGCCUUCCUGAGAGAAACGCUGAUCGGCUCCCCUGGGCCGUAGGAUGGUAUAACUGCUGCUCCUUUCUCCUCCUCAGGGAAGGACAUGACGUCCAAGUCUGUCAGCUGAAAGGGGAAAACCUGGCCUCUGGAGGUCCCUUGAUCUUGUUUUCAUUGCGUUCUGUUUCAUCCAGAUCUACACCUCAGAGACUUUUCAAUAGGAAAUAGGAAAAAGAGAGAGAAAGAGAGAAAACAGACCCCGCUUUUUGAUUGGAUCUUGAAAUGGUUUCCUUAGAUGCUGCAGGCUACACAGUCCUGGUUCAACAGCCUAACCAAACACUAAAGGGCAAGAGUAGAAUAUAUCUUCCUCCCAAGAUACGAUUUUACAAGUGCUUUUCAAGCACACUCCUCAUUUAAUGUGUCAGUGUCAGCCUGCAGAAGCCUUAGAGGCCCAGGCCUCUGGGCAACACUGGCCUGCUGGGGCUUCCGGUGGGCAGUGUUGGGGCCCUCCCUCACCUCAGGCCGUUGGGCCGUUGCCUCCGCAGUGAGAUUCGUGUGACCCAAAGCCCUCGGCAAAUGGGAGUGACCACGGAGAGCUGAGGGGAAAAGAGUGUCUUCCUGCCUUUUGAGUUUCAAAAGCCUAGACCUUUAUGGAAAUAGAAAAGCCUUUGGCUUUAAAGGAUUUGGGAGGAAGCCUGGUAGGUAAGAGCACGACACCCCACUCUCCUCCAUACUAUACCCCCAACAAUAGAAGAAGACCCCUCUCGCCUGAGUGGAGGAGAGAAGAAGGGGUACAAGGGACGAUGUUUGUGGGUCCCAGGAAGAGAGCCUACUCUCCAGGUCAAGCCCUGGGAGGUCUGUAGGGCCAUACAAAGAGGGAACCUGUGCCCUAUUUCCCAGGGAAAUCACUAGAGAAGUGGCCGGACUCCAAAAAAUAGAUGGAUAAAGGGCCUUUCUAGAAAGAUGGGGCCUUAGAUGGCCUCCAAAAACUUCCACACAGCUCAGACUAGUUGAAAAUCCAAAACUGGUUCUUUUGAGCCUGAGACAUGGUGUAUCAGUAGAACUGAAACGGUACCAGAAGAUGGGACCCAGGGACAUCCCUGCAGUCCCCUGUGUGCUCCAACAACUGUGGGCCCAACGCAACAAUGGACAUCACAGUGGACACUAUGCAGACAGGUGACACAGAGGACCCGUUAGCCCCCCUGACCCUUUUUAAAGCCCCUGGGACUUGACCAAGACCCUGAGCCAAAAGCAUGAGAAUCCCUGAUGUGACUGGGAUUAUUUUCCCAGCGCCCUAUCGGAUUGACAGCUUCGAAGAUAAAUCGAAAUUGAAAGAUGUAUUUCUGAGAUGUGUGGCCAUUUAGAUACACAUGCACCCUAAAAGGCUACAAAAUAGUGUGCAAACCUUUGAGCCCGGUUAAUCACUGCUGAAGACAUCUCUUCAGAUGAAAGGUUUGUAAGCCUACAGAAAAUAAGUAAAAUUUGUUGUGGGUUGAUUAUUCUGAGGGCUUGUUCCACAUUUGGUGUGGCACUGCCCAGAUGAUGGUAGGAGCGUGGGGAGUAGCCACAGCUACCGCCAAGCUGAGACAGCUCACAAGGCCCACUGCUUCCCAGGGUGGUGGAGGAAGUUGACUAACAUUCUCAGAUCUUCAAAGAGAUUUUGGAAUUCUGAGAGGAAGAGUAACCUAGAGGGCAUCCAAGGUCUGAAAGAAGGAGUUACAGAGGACAAUGGUAAGGACUUUGGUCAUUAGCAGGGGGCAGGAGAGCCAUAACCUGAUGGAUCCCAGCAUCAGACAUUUGACGCCCAGGCCACUGAGCCAUGCUCAGCAGUACUGCAGGGACAGAGGGCCAAGCCCAGUGGGGACCAGACACCCCUUUCCCAGUGCCGGAAAGUACAUUAGUCCCCUUCCUCCCAGGCACUUGAUGCCACCUCCAAAAAAGAAAGGCAGGUGAAAGUGGAGAGAAAAGCAACCCUGGGAAAUAGAACAUUUACCCCAGAAUGAUAAGCUUUGAACUUGACAGUGAUUGAGAAAAUAACAUUUGAGUGUAGCUGAAAAAAAAAUCCCUGGAUUAGAUUGAAUAUGCCCAAAUGGGAAAGAUUGAGUUUUCUGUUCUCAGAAGCAAAGUUGAGUUCAGUAUCCAAAAAUAAUGUCACACUUGCUCACAUUCAAGUUCAUGAUGGUCUGAUAUAGACUUGCAAUACGUGCCUAGGGAGGGACAGGAAAAAUAGUACUGCAGGAGAGUUCUAGAAAAAAAAAGUGGGAAAGCAGCAGGCAAUUAUAGUCAUGGGAGUCCAUAGGCAAGGAGAUGUUGUCCCUGCAAGGAGGGAUUUAUAGUGGGGAAACAUUGCACUUAGGCUAGAAAGCCCACUUAAAAUAAAUUUCACAUUAGAAACUCACAAAGGUAGCAAUAAAGAUAGAACAGAGAAUGAUAUUGGAGGUAUGAAACCAAAAAGGAAGCUGGCUUUUACCAGUCCAGGAGAUAGGAGUAGCAACGUUGAGAAGAAAGGAUGGAUUUCAGAGAGAUUUAGGAAGUAAAAGCAAGAGAAUUUACUGUUUGAUGCUUGACUAAAGAGAGGGCAGUGGAGGAUGAAGGAUUCAGGGUAACUUGUAGCCAGCUCCUUUGGACAACUGAGUGCAAGGGACUGUCAUUCACUAGUUUCACCAGGAAAGGCAGGGGCUGAGAGGACAGCAGUUUGGGUGCGUGGGAGGAAAUUAAGGAGAUGCUGGAUUUGAGGCACCUGUCGCACAUUCAGCUGGAUAGUUCUGCCAGCCAGGAAUUCAGAACAGAGAUCUAGAAAGGAACAAAUAUUUGAGAGUCAUCAACAUACAGAUGGUAGCUGAAGUCAUACUGUGUGUGAGAUUGCCCAGCAGCGGAGCAUAGAAUGAAGAGAUGAAUAAGGGCCCAGGGGCAGAGAUGUGGGAAGGAUGGACCCUGGGCAGAGUAAGAAGAGCCCAUGAUGAGCUGCGGUGAUGAGCAGCCAGGGGGUUGGGAAGUGAACCGAGAGAGCAGGUUCAGGGAUGUGAAUGGAAGGUUUCAAGAGGAAGUGGGCCAUUAGGUCCAGUUCCCAGCGGAGCCUGGCAAGCUGGCAAUUUUGGAGUCAAAGGCUCUAAGUUAGAAUGUUUCUGCAUUUCUUUUCUCUUCUACGGUUGCACGAGUAUAGUUAAGCUUGGGAUGUCUGUAGAUUGCCUGAGUGAAACGCCGGCCAGGAUGGGGUUUUGUUUUCGUUUUUCUCCCACUGCUCCCCUGAUUUAGCUAAGAAAGAAUACAAAGGCAAGAACUAUGUUGGGGGCCACCUUCUGAGCAGACUCCAGCCCUGCAGUUCCUGUGAGACUUUCCCCUUUUUAGCGCCUCCCCGGAGAAACAGAAGCUGGAAUCUCCAAGUCUCUAAAGCACUUUAGAGCAAUAUGGCCAACAUACAAACUAAGUACCCUGAGGACUAUGCCAGGGCCAUAGCGUGCCCUUUCCUUAUAGAGUGCCCCCCCACACAGGAUGCAUCCAUGCUUUGAAUUGCUUUCAAACGGUUUUCAUGGCCAUUUGUCUCCUUGGGAGUUGGAUAGCACUCAGUGCCAACCUUAUUUUGGUUUCUAGACCUGUUUAAAUUUCUGCCCCCUUUUUAUCCCACUACAUGGGCCACUCUAAAUAUGCCCAAUCACUUUGUUUUUCAGUCACAAAUGGAAACAAAAUGGGUUAAUCAACUCUCCUCUGAGCAAUCCUCCUCAGAGGGUGUGUGUGCAGAAGUGUCUCCAAGAUUUCCGUCCUCCCUCCUGGUCUCCUCCAGCCCCACUCAGGUCCUCCUGCAUUUGAAGACGUACUUGUCUCCUGUUGCAGUGGGAGAAAGGCCCUCCCUUCUAACACUGGUUGAGCUGAGAGUUCUACUCAUCAUAGCAACUCAAGACUCGGGCCUACUGAAGAACCACCAUUUCAAACAUGACAGUCAUUGUGCCAGAGUGAAAAGAGGGCUCUGGAAUGUUCCAUAUGAGCAAUGGUUGCUCACAACUCAUUGGUGGGAGUAGUCACAUGGCCCACCCAACAAUGAAGGAGCCAGGAAGCUUAGCUCCACUGAUGAACGUCACUAAGCAGAACCAUGUUGUUGGGAGACAGUUCUCCAGGGCUCUCCUGUUUCUGCAUGUCUUACAAGCAGAGGCACUGAGAGCUUUCGUUCCAGGCCAUCUUUCAAGAAUGUCUGUACAGCAAAGAGCCCUGACGGAUAGAAAUUAUGCUUCAUUCUGGAGCAUGGGGCAGGCUUGUUUACUGUCCAGUAUAAUAGAGAUUAUGUCUUUCUGAGGUAACAGAUGGGCCAGCUUGCUUGGACCCCAUUAAAAAGAUAGGGGUUCCCUAAGCUCCAAGUUCCUCACCUGUGAUGCAAACCCAUACAUCACCCCUGUGGGAUCCGGGGAGAGGGGGAAUUGACAUGAAUAUGAAGUUCCUGCUACUUUCUGUGCCAUGAGAAAUAAAGUCCUUUGUCUCUGACCUGGUGUCUUGUGUCUUCUGUCAGUAUCCAUGAAAGUGCAGCAGGCUAAGUCUCGAGACAAAGAAGGUUCCCACUCUCAUGGGGCUGUUAUAACAGUGGGGCCACUUUCAUUCUUGUCACUUCAUCAGAAAGGUCUUUCCUGACCACUUCCCUGCAAGUAAUUCUCUACCACAUCAUCCUAUUUCCUUCACAGAAAUUGGGAAAAUCUAAAAAAUGAAUUGUUAAUUUUCCAUUUUCCUCCUCUUGAAUGUAAGCUCCUUGAAAGCUCCCGUCACCAUCUUCAGUGCCAGAAACUGCGGUCUGGCACAUAUCAGGGACUCAAAAUAGCUAUGUUGAAGGAAGAGAGAGGAAGAAAAAAUCAGCGUGGGUGUUCCCAGCCCACAGCUGGCCUGAGUUCUUCUGAACAGCUCCGGAGUUUUAAGUGCACUCAAAGGAGUUGACCAAAGGGAUGGCUAAGCUUUUAGGAGAGGUUAGCCAGUGAGAAUCAACCAGGCUUGGAGAUCUUUUUCCCAUCAGGAACAAGAAGACUGGACCUAUUCCCAUGCCAAAGUGCAUCCCCGGAGAGAGCUAGAAGCUUCUCCCUCGAAGAGACAGGAAUGGGGGUAGAUCUUGGCUGACCUGGGCUGAGUUUGCUGGAGUCGCUCACCGUGCACUGCAAAGCCAGUGCUGACAGAGCAAGAGGAAGGCCUGGGUGUCAGUGCUGCCCAGGGCUUGAGGGGAGGGAGGAAACGGCAGAUGGCUUGUCUUUAACUUGCAUCUCUCUCUUAGCGUGGAUUUUGUAAGCUUCUCUCAGCCUGCACUUUCUGGGGCUUGAUUUCUGAUCCAGUGACUCCACAAUUUUUAGAUCCAAACUCACCUCUCGUCGUCCUGCCAGAUUUGGAGGGGAGACAAAAUGGGGUCAUGUUUGUGUGAAAAUGUCUUUUACUAAUUUCCCAUUAUCUCUUUCUAAAACUUGGGGGUCCCCUGUUUAUUUUUGCUCUCUCCUACCCUUUUAGUCCUCUUCCCAUCCUCUACUCCUUCUGUUCUCACACUGCCAGCUUUCUUUGGGAUUUCACCUGAAAUCCACUAUGUUGACCUUUAUAUGCUGACAUUUGCAAUACCUCUUUUCUUACCUGAAUUUCAGAUAUUGCAAACAGGCUUGAGCAGAACGAUGGCAAUUUUUACUUACUUACUUUAAGUUGCAGCAAUAGUUCAAAAGAUUUUGAACUUCUAGAGUAAGGUGAUGCAUUGUUCUACUAAUUCAACCAUUUAAUACAGUCAGAAGAAUUUGCUGGCUUUUGAGUCAACAUGACAAAUUGAGGUCUCAAUAAUUUUUUGAAGUGAGUUAAGCAAAUGUUUACUUGAGUGAAGAAGGGCAAGAGUAAGUUCCACACUUCUGACGCCUUGCGCUGCUUUCUGUACCAGCUGAAAUGGUGAUUCUCAGACCAUGCUCCUACCAAAGAGUUUCCCAAUGAGAUGGGUUAAUGCGUUCAAAUGCUCAAAUUUUAACAGCAGCCUUUUCCCAAUUAACUGGAAAAAAUAGAUGAAUUGAAAUAUUUUCUUUAAGAUUUUUCUCCCAUUAAUCGUGUUCAUGCAUGUGGAAGCUGCCGCUGCUUACCUGUGAACGAAUGCCAACGGUGAUCAAAUCCAACGAAUCCAUAGCAAAUAGAUAUUAACAGAAAAUGCAGAACCCGAUGAUCUCGCUGAAUCUGAUUGCAUCUUUUUUUCCAAAUACCUCUUUCAUAUGUCUGAAAUGGUUCCUGGUUUCAUGAGGAAAUAAGCUCAAUAUUUGGGGAUUUCUAAAAUGAAUUCUUUGAUUUCUAGUUGUUCCACUAUCUAAACUAUACAAAGCUGUGACUCAUUAUCCAGACCAUGACAGAUCAAUGUCCCCUUUAAUUGUGAAAUUAUAAAAUGUUUAAAGUUCAGUCUUAAAAGCACUCUUACGCUACAUAUUCUACGUUCUUCAAAAUUCAUUGGCAACCCAGUCAGCCCGAAAGAGAUUCCUGGAUCAGUACUGAAGACCAAAAUUCUCGACCAACAUUGUACUUCCAACUGCCUCUUUCAUGGGCUUUUUCUUUUAGUUUUGCCACUCAAAACCACAAAGUCAGAAUGUUUAUUUUUUUCAAUAUAUAUCGAUUUGAAAAAUGGUUGUUCCCGUCUAGGAAAAUUUGGCUUCCUUAACUCCAAAUGAGCUUCUGCUAGGGUUCUUUGUUGAUGGUUGCGCUAGCUACGGAUGGAUUUUGAGCUUGCUGUUUAUCAGUUUGUGUUCGCGCGCACCUGUGUGUGUGCGUGUGUGUGUAGAUUUGAAUGACAUAUUCAACCUCAGGUCAACAAAAUGACUUAAACCACAAUUUCUGUGGGCCCAUUUAAAAGGAAAAACAUAUAAAAACACACAAAUCAAGUGCUAUGAAAUAAUGAAGGAAACGUCAUUCAUCAAACUGCUAGCCUGCAGUAAUGAGGCUGGAUGCUGAGCUUGGGUUCAGAGAAGUAAAGCCAUCUUAGAGCAUAUCUGACAUACGGAAGCCAUGGGCCCAUGUGUUUGUGAGAUAGAUCAACUUACAGGAGACUUCAUGCCUCCCUUGAGAGGACACACUUGAUACUCAUGACCCAUCUGUCAACUCAAAGUUUACUUUGGGUUUCAUGUUCCCAGUUCUUCCCAUCUUGGUGGGACAAGAAAGUGGAGCAGUAUUGCUUUCCAUGGAGACGUUACCACUCUUUGCAUGUUGUGGUGUGGUGAACACUUUAAUUCUACUUGUUUUCAUGUUUCAAUGUAUCAAUACAUUGUUCAAUAAAUGUAUCAAUAAACUUCCCAGGUGGAUUUUCUGUCUAGACUGUUACUUUUUCCAAAUAUCUAGUUCCUUUUAAAGUUAUUAUGUAAGAAGAAAGGACACACUUGCCCUAAAUUGAAAUAGAUAGCUAAGACAAUACGGCCCAGUACCGCAUGGAAGGUAAGUACCGGUAAAUGUACUGACUGAGAGCAACUACACUUAUUUAUCCAACUAAAAUUCUAUACUCUAUAACAAUUAAACGAAAGAAAAAAUUCAUUUGUUUUUCUGCUUAUUUUCCACAGCCUGUGUAUUCUGUUUCUCACUCAAUAAUGGUAAUUUUGUGCCACUUAACAAGACAAUU